rnacentral:misc_RNA from 1 species
AAGUCGUAACAAGGUAUCCGUAGGUGAACCUGCGGAUGGAUCAUUAACACAAACCCUAAACACACUGGUUUCAUCAUUUCAAUUUCUUGAAGUGGUGUCUCCUUUUAAAACCAAACCUAGUGAACCUAGAUAUAUUUUCACCUUACAAUGAAGGAUUUGGGGUUGGGUGAACUAUAAAUUGAAAAAGGAUGGAGAGGUAAAACGAACGCCUGCAGGAAUCACCCCGUACUUACGGCGUUGACAUGACUGAGAAAACAAAUGUGUUGCGACCCAGCACAAUAAAUACUAACAUAUUAUACAACUCUUAACAACGGAUAUCUCGGCUCUC